AUGAACGCUAGCUACAGGCUUAACACAUGCAAGUCGAGGGGCAUCAGGAAGAAAGCUUGCUUUCUUUGCUGGCGACCGGCGCACGGGUGAGUAACACGUAUCCAACCUGCCCUUUACUCGGGGAUAGCCUUUCGAAAGAAAGAUUAAUACCCGAUAGUAUAAUGAUUCCGCAUGGUUUGAUUAUUAGAGGAUUCCGGUAAAGGAUGGGGAUGCGUUCCAUUAGGUUGUUGGUGAGGUAACGGCUCACCAAGCCUUCGAUGGAUAGGGGUUCUGAGAGGAAGGUCCCCCACAUUGGAACUGAGACACGGUCCAAACUCCUACGGGAGGCAGCAGUGAGGAAUAUUGGUCAAUGGGCGAUGGCCUGAACCAGCCAAGUAGCGUGAAGGAUGACUGCCCUAUGGGUUGUAAACUUCUUUUAUAUUAGAAUAAAGUGCAGUAUGUAUACUGUUUUGUAUGUAUAAUAUGAAUAAGGAUCGGCUAACUCCGUGCCAGCAGCCGCGGUAAUACGGAGGAUCCGAGCGUUAUCCGGAUUUAUUGGGUUUAAAGGGAGCGUAGGUGGACUGGUAAGUCAGUUGUGAAAGUUUGCGGCUCAACCGUAAAAUUGCAGUUGAUACUGUCAGUCUUGAGUACAGUAGAGGUGGGCGGAAUUCGUGGUGUAGCGGUGAAAUGCUUAGAUAUCACGAAGAACUCCGAUUGCGAAGGCAGCUCACUGGACUGCAACUGACACUGAUGCUCGAAAGUGUGGGUAUCAAACAGGAUUAGAUACCCUGGUAGUCCACACAGUAAACGAUGAAUACUCGCUGUUUGCGAUAUACAGUAAGCGGCCAAGCGAAAGCAUUAAGUAUUCCACCUGGGGAGUACGCCGGCAACGGUGAAACUCAAAGGAAUUGACGGGGGCCCGCACAAGCGGAGGAACAUGUGGUUUAAUUCGAUGAUACGCGAGGAACCUUACCCGGGCUUAAAUUGCAGUGGAAUGAUGUGGAAACAUGUCAGUGAGCAAUCACCGCUGUGAAGGUGCUGCAUGGUUGUCGUCAGCUCGUGCCGUGAGGUGUCGGCUUAAGUGCCAUAACGAGCGCAACCCUUAUCUUUAGUUACUAACAGGUCAUGCUGAGGACUCUGGAGAGACUGCCGUCGUAAGAUGUGAGGAAGGUGGGGAUGACGUCAAAUCAGCACGGCCCUUACGUCCGGGGCUACACACGUGUUACAAUGGGGGGUACAGAAGGCAGCUACCUGGUGACAGGAUGCUAAUCCCAAAAGCCUCUCUCAGUUCGGAUCGAAGUCUGCAACCCGACUUCGUGAAGCUGGAUUCGCUAGUAAUCGCGCAUCAGCCACGGCGCGGUGAAUACGUUCCCGGGCCUUGUACACACCGCCCGUCAAGCCAUGGGAGCCGGGGGUACCUGAAGUACGUAACCGCAAGGAGCGUCCUAGGGUAAAACUGGUGACUGGGGCU
rnacentral:rRNA from 1 species